rnacentral:piRNA from 1 species
UUGUAGGAAAAAUUAGAAGAC